AGUUUCUGAUUUGCUGGGAGUAUGAAAAAGUCCUUACAUUGUGUUUGACUCCCCAUCAGCUUCAUCUCUUUCUUCAUGUGAGAUGGGAGUUAAAUGACUACAGAUUC
rfam:Oryza rufipogon genomic scaffold, chr06